GACAAACGCUGGCGGCGUGCCUAAAACAUGCAAGUCGAACGGUCCUUCGGGACAGUGGCGGACGGCUGAGUAACACGUAGGUGACCUACCCUUGAGUGGGGAAUAACGCUCCGAAAGGAGCGCUAAUACCGCAUACGACCACCGUUUUUCGGGACGGGUGAGGAAAGCCGCAAGGUGCUCGAGGCUGGGCCUGCGUCCGAUUAGCUAGUUGGUGAGGUAACGGCCCACCAAGGCGACGAUCGGUAGCGGUCUAAGAGGAUGAUCAGCCAGACUGGGACUGUGACACGGCCCAGACUCCUACGGGAGGCAGCAGUUAGGAAUCUUGGGCAAUGGGCGAAAGCCUGACCCAGCAACGCCGCGUGGGUGACGAAGGCCUU
rnacentral:rRNA from 1 species